CCUAUGUGUUUCUAGGAAGACAUCAUUGGUUCCAUUUAUCUGAAAUUCCUAGGCUACCUUUGUUGAGUUUGCAGGAAUUAAUGGAACACACCACUUUUUAACCUUAAACUAACUUUUUAGAGUUAGGCUUCCUGAUAUGUUAAGUGUGUUGAGUAUACUUUCAUAAAUAGAAUUUGACUCAUAUUUCUCUCUCUGCCUAUUUAUUUCAAAAUUUGUUACCUAUUUGUGAAUAUUCUUAAUUCACAGCUAUGUGUUUGUUUGCAUACAGUUAAGCAGGACCCCUAAGGCUGCUCAGGGAGAAAGAAGUCAGAAGUCUGACAUGCAGGCAAAAGGAGACCAUCAAGCUUCAGAUGGUGAUGCAACGUGGCUUCCAGCCAGUUCCAAGUGAAGAGACUGCCCUGGUCAUCAAAGAACUACCCUGCCUCCACUAACCAGAGCAGGGCAAGUGUUCCAUGAUCCUCAGUUGAUAGGGACUACGCCCUAAGCCAGCAAGAAGUGGUUACAGAAGAAAGACCAUCUGUUCCUCUGCUUCCUAUAAAGAUUUAUGGGGUCACAUCUCUCAGGGGGGAAGUGAGGCAGGAGAAUAUGGUCUGGAGGCAGGGGACCUAAGGCCAAUUCACACUGACUUCCUAGAACUGAAUCAAAUGAAACACUUCAGCUAUGACAGGGAAUAUCCUAUUCAUUUGCACAGGGCGUACACCGAGUUAGCAAUGGAAACCUCUAGAGGGCAUUUAACCCCAGAAAAUUAUGUAAUGGGGUUCUUGAACCCUAUACCUGGGCCUGCUCCCACCCUGUGGGGUGUACUUUUAUUUUCAAUAAAUCCCUGCUUUUGUUGCUU